rnacentral:lncRNA from 1 species
AUUUCAACCAAGCCACUGGUGUCAAGGUCAUAGUAUUUGUGUGUUGUGUGUGUGUGUGUUUUGCCCAUGUAGGUUAUAUGCAUCCACAUGAUUCUGUGUGGAUUUGGCUCACAGAAAGGCAAGAAAAGUCAUUUCUAGGAUCUCUCCUCUACUUUUCUCCAAGGAAGACUUUGAUUCCAGAUACCAAGAUGCCAAAGGGAAAUCCUGGAUGUACUGUGAUAGAACAUGCAUGUCAGGCUGGAACAGAACAGCUGGAGGGCAUACCUGCUUUUCCUAAUGACCCAGAAUAAGUCAUGUCAACGAGCCAAGAGAAUCCCUUCACAGUAGCACCUGCAGAGCCAUGCAGGCACCAGAGACUUCCCCUCACUUGCUGGAAAUCUAGCCCCAAACUUCAUCUUAAGGAAGCCUAGUUUGACACAGCAGCCAAGCGAAGACGGGCAUCCCUCAGCUCCAGAGUGGGUGGACAAGCUGCUUUCUUCUCUUAAAGGUCGGGCACCAACUCCUUUGACCUUCUAGGAAACCAACGAGUCUUAGAAUCCUGCUUGAGUCCAGGAGGGAGGGAGGCAUGCCGAGGGGAGUGGAGAGUCCUGGCCUUAGGUGAGACAGAAGAUCCCAUGUGUGGCUUUGAUAGGACUUUAUGCAGACCAUUUACCUUAUUUGAAUUCCAGACUAAAGCAAGGCUUAGCUCAAGGGGGAAUUAUGAGGAUCAAGAGCGAUAAUGUUAAGAAAGCGCUUUGUAAAGCAUGUGCCUAUAUAAAUAUCAUUUGUAUUUCUCCAGGGUCUGGCUUUUCUUCUUACAGGGGAAUACACGCAAGCUUUGAAUAAGGACAGAGAUGGAAGGGAUGGAUAAAGAGUAGGAGUUUAUGACUAAAUGUAGAGCUAGUUUUUGUUUGUCCAGUCUUCUGCACCAAGCUCAACGUGAAGGCUUCUUAUUUAUCAAUGUUUCCAUCUCUAGAAUACCAGGGAAAACAGUUAGGGAAGCCUUUAGGAAUUUUAGUUAAUAGUCA